AUUGAACGCUGGCGGCAUGCUUUACACAUGCAAGUCGAACGGUAACAGGCCUUCGGGUGCUGACGAGUGGCGAACGGGUGAGUAAUGCAUCGGAACGUACCCAGAGGUGGGGGAUAACGCAGCGAAAGCUGUGCUAAUACCGCAUGUGAUCUGAGGAUGAAAGCCGGGGACCGAGCAGCAAUGUUUGGCCUCGCGCCUUUGGAGCGGCCGAUGUCGGAUUAGCUAGUUGGUGGGGUAAAGGCCUACCAAGGCGACGAUCCGUAGCUGGUCUGAGAGGACGACCAGCCACACUGGGACUGAGACACGGCCCAGACUCCUACGGGAGGCAGCAGUGGGGAAUUUUGGACAAUGGGCGCAAGCCUGAUCCAGCAAUGCCGCGUGCGGGAAGAAGGCCUUCGGGUUGUAAACCGCUUUUGGCAGGAACGAAACGGUGUCCGCUAAUACCGGGCGCUAAUGACGGUACCUGCAGAAUAAGCACCGGCUAACUACGUG
rnacentral:rRNA from 1 species